rnacentral:rRNA from 1 species
UACGUAGGCAGCAAGCGUUGUUCGGAGUUACUGGGCGUAAAGAGUGCGUAGGCGGCCCUGUAAGUUUGGUGUGAAAUCUCCCGGCUCAACUGGGAGGGUGCGCCGAAGACUGCAGGGCUUGAGUAUGGGAGAGGUAAGCGGAAUUCCUGGUGUAGCGGUGAAAUGCGCAGAUAUCAGGAGGAACACCGAUGGCGAAGGCAGGUCUCUGGGCAUUAACUGACGCUGAGGAGCGAAAGCAUGGGGAGCGAACAGG